AGCGGCUAACUGCAUCAAGAUAUACGGAUUUGUUUUUGACUGGCAUUUGUCUUUCAGGUGUCGCAUAUGUGUGCCUUGCCUCUGAUAGCUGACUACUGUGCUUGGUAGCCACAUUGACUGCACGCACGACCACUCACAAUCCCGGACGAAGUGUCGCAUAUGUGUGCCUUGCCUCUGAUAGCUGACUACUGUGCUUGGUAGCCACAUUGACUGCACGCACGACCACUCACAAUCCCGGACGAAUUAUAACGGUCAUCACGGUCUGCGACUACUGUGGGCCCACCGACUACAAGCCCUGAUCACAAUAAAUCUUGUAGAACUCUG